rnacentral:rRNA from 1 species
UGAACACCAGUGGCGAAGGCGCUCUGCUGGGCCAUAACUGACGCUCAUGGACGAAAGCCAGGGGAGCGAAAGGGAUUAGAUACCCCUGUAGUCCUGGCCGUAAACGAUGAACACUAGGUGUCGGGGGAAUCGACCCCCUCGGUGUCGUAGCCAACGCGUUAAGUGUUCCGCCUGGGGAGUACGCACGCAAGUGUGAAACUCAAAGGAAUUGACGGGGGCCCGCACAAGCGGUGGAGUAUGUGGUUUAAUUCGAUGCAACGCGAAGAACCUUACCAGGGUUUGACAUCCUGCGAAUCUCUUGGAAACGAGAGAGUGCCUUCGGGAACGCAGUGACAGGUGGUGCAUGGCUGUCGUCAGCUCGUGUCGUGAGAUGUUGGGUUAAGUCCCGCAACGAGCGCAACCCACGUCGUUAGUUGCCAGCAUUUAGUUGGGCACUCUAGCGAGACCGCCGGUGAUAAACCGGAGGAAGGUGUGGAUGACGUCAAGUCAUCAUGCCCCUUACAUCCUGGGCUACACACGUACUACAAUGCUACGGACAAAGGGCAGCAAACUCGCGAGAGCUAGCAAAUCCCAUAAACCGUGGCUCAGUUCAGAUCGUAGGCUGCAACUCGCCUACGUGAAGGAGGAAUCGCUAGUAAUCGCAGGUCAGCAUACUGCGGUGAAUACGUUCCCGGGCCUUGCACACACCGCCCGUCAAUCACUAGUGAAUUC